rnacentral:rRNA from 1 species
AUUGAACGCUGGCGGCAGGCCUAACACAUGCAAGUCGAGCGAGCGGCGGACGGGUGAGUAAUGUAUGGGGACUGCCCGAUCGAGGGGGAUAACUCCUGGAAACGGUAGCUAAUACCGCAUACUAUCGGAUAACCCAUAUGGGAUUAGCUAGUAGGUGUGGUAAUGUCUCACCUGGGGGACGAUCCCUAGCUGUUCUGAGAGGAUGAUCAGCCACACUGGGACUGAGAAACGGCCCAGACUCCUACGGAGGCAGCAGUGGGGAAUAUUGCACAAUGGGCGCAAGCCUGAUGCAGCCAUGCCGCGUGUAUGAGGAAGGCCCUAGGGUUGUAAAGUACUUUCAGUCGGGAGGCGUUACCGACAGAAGAAGCACCGGCUAACUCCGUGCCAGCAGCCGCGGUAAUAC